AACCGCCGUAUGCGGACCCGCAUGUACGGUGGUGUGGGGAGACGGGGGCUUCUUACCCCCUCUUACCCGAU
rfam:Alicyclobacillus ferrooxydans strain TC-34 contig_29, whole genome shotgun sequence.